GAUGAACGCUAGCGGCAGGCCUAACACAUGCAAGUCGAGGGGUAGAACACUUCGGUGUUUGAGACCGGCGCACGGGUGCGUAACGCGUAUGCAAUCUACCUUGUACAGGGGAAUAGCCCAGAGAAAUUUGGAUUAAUGCCCCAUAGUAUAUAACCUUCGCAUGUUGGUUAUAUUAAAGUUCAAACGGUACAAGUUGAGCAUGCGUCCAAUUGGUUAGUGGGUAAGGUAACGGCUUACCAAGACGAUGAUGGGUAGGGGUCCUGAGAGGGAGAUCCCCCACACUGGUACUGAGACACGGACCAGACUCCUACGGGAGGCAGCAGUGAGGAAUAUUGGUCAAUGGGCGCAAGCCUGAACCAGCCAUGCCGCGUGCAGGAAGACGGUCCUAUGGAUUGUAAACUGCUUUUGUACGGGAAGAAAUCACAUUACGUGUAAUGUGUUGACGGUACCGUGAGAAUAAGGAUCGGCUAACUUCGUGCCAGCCGCCGCAGUAAUAC
rnacentral:rRNA from 1 species